rnacentral:rRNA from 1 species
UACGUAGGGGGCAAGCGUUGUCCGGAAUCAUUGGGCGUAAAGCGCGUGUAGGCGGCUUGGUAAGUCCGGUGUGAAAACUUGGGGCUCAACCCCAAGCGUGCACCGGAUACUGCCUCGCUCGAGUCCGGGAGAGGGAAGCGGAACUCCUAGUGUAGCGGUGAAAUGCGCAGAUAUUAGGAAGAACACCGGUGGCGAAGGCGGCUUCCUGGAACGGUACUGACGCUGAGACGCGAAAGCGUGGGGAGCAAACAGG